GGACAACUUGGGGAAACUUAAGCUAACACUUUAUACGUCCUUCGGGAGAAAGCUUUAUGCGCUAUUGGAUGGGCCCGCGUUAGAUUAGUUUGUUGGUGAGGUAACGGCUCACCAAGACUACGAUCUAUAGCUGGUCUGAGAGGAUGAUCAGCCACACUGGGACUGAGACACGGCCCAGACUCCUACGGGAGGCAGCAGUGGGGAAUAUUGGACAAUGGGGGCAACCCUGAUCCAGCGAUGCCGCGUGAGUGAUGAAGGCCCUAGGGUUGUAAAACUCUUUCGUCAGGGAAGAUAAUGACGGUACCUGAAGAAGAAGAUCCGGCUAACUCCGUGCCAGCAGCCGCGGUAAUACGGAGGGAUCUAGCGUUAUUCGGAAUUACUGGGCGUAAAGCGAGCGUAGGCGGAUUUGUAAGUUGGAGGUGAAAUCCCAGAGCUUAACUCUGGAACUGCCUUCAAAACUACAUUUCUUGAGUUUGGUAGAGGAGAGUGGAAUUCCUAGUGUAGAGGUGAAAUUCGUAGAUAUUAGGAGGAACACCAGUGGCGAAGGCGACUCUCUGGGCCAAUACUGACGCUGAGGUUCGAAAGCAUGGGUAGCGAACAGGAUUAGAUACCCUGGUAGUCCAUGCAGUAAACGAUGAGUGCUAGAUGUUGGGAAUUUUAAAUUUCCAGUAUCGCAGUUAACGCGUUAAGCACUCCGCCUGGGAAGUACGGCCGCAAGGCUAAAACUCAAAUGAAUUGACGGGGACCCGCACAAGCGGUGGAUCAUGUGGUUUAAUUCGAAGAUACGCGAAGAACCUUACCGGCUCUUGACAU
rnacentral:rRNA from 1 species